rnacentral:rRNA from 1 species
AUUGAACGCUGGCGGCAGGCCUAACACAUGCAAGUCGAACGAGAGGCGGACGGGUGAGUAAUGUCUGGGAAACUGCCCGUUGGAGGGGGAUAACCACCGGAAACGGUAGCUCAUACCGCAUAUCAUCUGGUGUGCCCAGAUGGGAUUUGCUAGUAGGUGGGGUAACGGCUCACCUAGGCGACGAUCCCUAGCUGGUCUGAGAGGAUGACCAGCCACACUGGAACUGAGACACGGUCCAGACUCCUACGGGAGGCAGCAGUGGGGAAUAUUGCACAAUGGGCGCAAGCCUGAUGCAGCCAUGCCGCGGGUAUGAAGAAGGCCUUCGGGUUGGAAAGUACUUUCAGCGGGGAGGCGUUACUCGCAGAAGAAGCACCGGCUAACUCCGUGCCAGCAGCCGCGGUAAUAC